UACGUAGGGUGCGAGCGUUGUCCGGAAUUAUUGGGCGUAAAGGGCUCGUAGGCGGUCUGUUGCGUCAGGAGUGAAAACUCGGGGCUUAACCCCGAGCCUGCUUCUGAUACGGGCAGACUAGAGGUAUGCAGGGGAGAACGGAAUUCCUGGUGUAGCGGUGAAAUGCGCAGAUAUCAGGAGGAGCACCGGUGGCGAAGGCGGUUCUCUGGGCCAUUACUGACGCUGAGGAGCGAAAGCGUGGGGAGCGAACAGG
rnacentral:rRNA from 1 species